rnacentral:rRNA from 1 species
CCUCGGGGCGCAGCAGUGGGGAAUAUUGGGCAAUGGGCGCAAGCCUGACCCAGCAACGCCGCGUGAAGGAAGAAGGCUUUCGGGUUGUAAACUUCUUUUAUGAGGGACGAAACAAAUGACGGUACCUCAUGAAUAAGCCACGGCUAACUACGUGCCAGCAGCCGCGGUAAUACGUAGGUGGCAAGCGUUAUCCGGAUUUACUGGGUGUAAAGGGCGUGUAGGCGGGACUGCAAGUCAGAUGUGAAAAUUAUGGGCUCAACCCAUAACCUGCAUUUGAAACUGUAGUUCUCGAGUGAUGGAGAGGC